GACAAGAUGGCCGAGCGGUUAAGGCGGUAGCCUGCUAUAGGCACAGCUGAACAAGUUGAUAAGCUAUUGGGUUCUGCCCGCGUGAGUUCGAAUCUCACUCUUGUCG
rnacentral:tRNA from 1 species